rnacentral:rRNA from 1 species
CGAGAAAGCCCGCAAGGGUGAGUAAAGCGGCGCACGGGUGCGUAACACGUGGGUAAUCUGCCCUAGAGUCCGGAAUAACUCGCCGAAAGGCGUGCUAAUGCCGGAUGAGACCACGGGAGCCUCGGCUCCUGCGGGAAAAGGUGGCCUCUGUAUACAAGCUAUCGCUCUAGGAUGAGCCCGCGGCCCAUCAGCUCGUUGGCGGGGUAAUGGCCCACCAAGGCUACGACGGGUAGCUGGUCUGAGAGGACGAUCAGCCACACUGGAACUGGGACACGGUCCAGACUCCUACGGGAGGCAGCAGUGGGGAAUCUUGCGCAAUGGGCGAAAGCCUGACGCAGCAACGCCGCGUGUGUGAUGGAGGUCUUCGGAUCGUAAAGCACUGUCGCGAGGGACG